GCGCGCUUAGCUCAGUGGUAGAGCAUUGUCUUGACGUGACAAGGGUCGGGGGUUCGAUUCCCUUAGCGCGCACCG
rnacentral:tRNA from 3 species